rnacentral:rRNA from 1 species
CUAACAGGAUUCCCCUAGUAACUGCGAGUGAAGCGGGAAAAGCUCAAAUUUAAAAUCUGGUGGCCUUUGGUCAUCCGAGUUGUAAUUUAGAGAAGCGUCUUCCGCGCUGGACCGUGCACAAGUCUCCUGGAAUGGAGCGUCAUAGAGGGUGAGAAUCCCGUCUUUGGCACGGACCCCAGGGCUUCUGUGAUGCGCUCUCGAAGAGUCGAGUUGUUUGGGAAUGCAGCUCAAAAUGGGUGGUGAACUCCAUCUAAAGCUAAAUACUGGCGAGAGACCGAUAGCGAACAAGUACCGUGAGGGAAAGAUGAAAAGCACUUUGGAAAGAGAGUGAAACAGUACGUGAAAUUGUUGAAAGGGAAACGCUUGAAGUCAGUCGCGUUGCCCGAGACUCAGCCUUGCCUCGGCUUGGUGUACUUCUCGGCUGACGGGUCAGCAUCAAUUUUGCCCCUCGGAUAAUGGCGAGGGAAAUGUGACACCUUUACGGGUGUGUUAUAGUCCCGCGUCGCAUGCGAGGGUCGGGAUUGAGGAACUCAGCACGCGCUUCGGCGUCGGGGCUUUGCCCACGAUACGUGCUUAGGAUGUUGGCGUAAUGGCUUUAAACGACCCGUCUUGAAACACGGACCAAGGAGUCUAACAUGCCCGCGAGUGUUCGGGUGGAAAACCCGUGCGCGAAAUGAAAGUGAAAGUUGGGACCUCUGUCGUGGAGGGCACCGACGCCCGGACCAGACCUUCUGUGACGGAUCUGCGGUGGAGCGUGUAUGUUAGGACCCGAAAGAUGGUGAACUAUGCCUGAAUAGGGUGAAGCCAGAGGAAACUCUGGUGGAGGCUCGUAGCGAUUCUGACGUGCAAAUCGAUCGUCAAAUUUGGGUAUAGGGGCGAAAGACUAAUCGAACCAUC